rnacentral:rRNA from 1 species
UCAUGCAAGUCGAGCGGACAGAUGGGAGCUUGCUCCCUGAUGUUAGCGGCGGACGGGUGAGUAACACGUGGGUAACCUGCCUGUAAGACUGGGAUAACUCCGGGAAACCGGGGCUAAUACCGGAUGCUUGUUUGAACCGCAUGGUUCAAACAUAAAAGGUGGCUUCGGCUACCACUUACAGAUGGACCCGCGGCGCAUUAGCUAGUUGGUGAGGUAACGGCUCACCAAGGCAACGAUGCGUAGCCGACCUGAGAGGGUGAUCGGCCACACUGGGACUGAGACACGGCCCAGACUCCUACGGGAGGCAGCAGUAGGGAAUCUUCCGCAAUGGACGAAAGUCUGACGGAGCAACGCCGCGUGAGUGAUGAAGGUUUUCGGAUCGUAAAGCUCUGUUGUUAGGGAAGAACAAGUACCGUUCGAAUAGGGCGGUACCUUGACGGUACCUAACCAGAAAGCCACGGCUAACUACGUGCCAGCAGCCGCGGUAAUACGUAGGUGGCAAGCGUUGUCCGGAAUUAUUGGGCGUAAAGGGCUCGCAGGCGGUUUCUUAAGUCUGAUGUGAAAGCCCCCGGCUCAACCGGGGAGGGUCAUUGGAAACUGGGGAACUUGAGUGCAGAAGAGGAGAGUGGAAUUCCACGUGUAGCGGUGAAAUGCGUAGAGAUGUGGAGGAACACCUGUGGCGAAGGCGACUCUCUGGUCUGUAACUGACGCUGAGGAGCGAAAGCGUGGGGAGCGAACAGGAUUAGAUACCCUGG